rnacentral:rRNA from 1 species
GAUGAACGCUGGCGGCGUGCCUAAUACAUGCAAGUCGAGCGAACGGACGAGAAGCUUGCUUCUCUGAUGUUAGCGGCGGACGGGUGAGUAACACGUGGAUACCCCACCUAUAAUACUGGGAUAACUUCGGGACACCGGAGCUAAUACCGGAUAAUAUUUUGAACCGCAUUGUUCAAAAGUGAAAGGCGGUCUUGCUGUCACUUAUAGAUGGAUCCGCGCUGCAUUAGCUAGUUGGUAAGGUAACGGCUUACCAAGGCAACGAUGCAUAGCCGACCUGAGAGGGUGAUCGGCCACACUGGAACUGAGACACGGUCCAGACUCCUACGGGAGGCAGCAGUAGGGAAUCUUCCGCAAUGGGCGAAAGCCUGACGGAGCAACGCCGCGUGAGUGAUGAAGGUCGUCGGAUCGGAAAGCUCUGUUAUUAGGGAAGAACAUAUGUGUAAGUAACUGUGCACAUCUUGACGGUACCUAAUCAGAAAGCCACGGCUAACUACGUG